rnacentral:rRNA from 1 species
CCUACGGGGGGCAGCAGUGGGGAAUAUUGCACAAUGGGCGCAAGCCUGAUGCAGCCAUGCCGCGUGUGUGAAGAAGGCCUUCGGGUUGUAAAGCACUUUCAGCGGGGAGGAAGGCGUUAAGGUUAAUAACCUUGGCGAUUGACGUUACCCGCAGAAGAAGCACCGGCUAACUCCGUGCCAGCAGCCGCGGUAAUACGGAGGGUGCAAGCGUUAAUCGGAAUUACUGGGCGUAAAGCGCACGCAGGCGGUCUGUCAAGUCGGAUGUGAAAUCCCCGGGCUCAACCUGGGAACUGCAUUCGAAACUGGCAGGCUAGAGUCUUGUAGAGGGGGGUAGAAUUCCAGGUGUAGCGGUGAAAUGCGUAGAGAUCUGGAGGAAUACCGGUGGCGAGGGCGGCCCCCUGGACAAAGACUGACGCUCAGGUGCGAAAGCGUGGGGAGCAAACAGGAUUAAUACCCGGGUAGUC